UAAAAUUUGUUAUAAAUUUGAUGCAACAGUUCAAAGUUUUGUACUUUCCAGACCUGCACAACGAAUUACCUAUUUGAAAAAUAGAAUAUGGUUAAAAAUUGCUGAUGUGAUAGAUGAUUCAAGUACCAUUUACAAAAAAAAAAUAUUGAAGAGAAUGUGCUCAGAAGGAAAUGCAUAUGAAUUCUUUUUUGUUGACCAGGAUGGAAAAAUUCUUUGGAACCCAUAGUUAGAAUAAGUUAGUUAGGCCUAGUGGUGUACCAGCCAGAAGUAGAGGAUGACAAAGAAAAUCAACU